UACUCCUACCGGGAGGCAGCAGUGGGGAAUAUUGCGCAAUGGGCGAAAGCCUGACGCAGCGACGCCGCGUGGGGGAUGACGGCCUUCGGGUUGUAAACCUCUUUUACCACCAACGCAGGCUCCCAGUUCUCUGGGGGUUGACGGUAGGUGGGGAAUAAGGACCGGCUAACUACGUGCCAGCAGCCGCGGUAAUACGUAGGGUCCGAGCGUUGUCCGGAAUUAUUGGGCGUAAAGAGCUCGUAGGCGGCGUGUCGCGUCUGCUGUGAAAGACCGGGGCUUAACUCCGGUUCUGCAGUGGAUACGGGCAUGCUAGAGGUAGGUAGGGAGACGAUGCUUU
rnacentral:rRNA from 2 species